GAUUCUUUUCGAAGUUCUUUAACUCCUCAAACGCAAAGGCACUCAUUUGUGCUCAGAAUUGGAUUCAGUCUAAAUCUUUGGAUGACAUGACUGAAGAAAUUGACGGGGCUGAAGAAAUUGAUGAAGAAUUCAUAAACAUAGGAAAGAAGAUGGAAGCAGCAUUUGAGAAUUUGAAUAAUGACUCUAUGUGUCUUGAAGCUCAGUGAUGGAAGCACUUUGGGUUAUACGAACAAGGUGGUCUCGUGAAGAUGUUCAUUAAUUCAUACCUUCACAAUUGUAAACUCUGUUGUUUGCGUAAGGAUUUGAA